rnacentral:tRNA from 1 species
GCCCUUAUAGCUCAGUGGUUAGAGCGCGAGCAUGAAAAACUGCCGAGGUCUCCGGUUCGAGCCCGGGUGGGGGCA